CCAACCUGCAGCAGCGGUAUUGGCUCGGAAUUUACCAACCCGCGGCCCAAUAAGUUUUAGAAGAAAAUUAUUGAGUCAAAUUACCAAUUAACAAGGAAGCACACCAGAAGCACACAAGCCACACAAUCAAACAUUAAGGCGACAAGGUUCGUAAUGCACUUGCCUCGGACGUGUGUUCAAAUUCAAUAACUACUUCCUCGCACCCGAAGCUCCAAAACCUGUGGGUAAAAGAGCUUGAGAAACUGUUCCAAAAGAAUCAAACGUGUAGAUUGAACAACCUAUAGCUAACCAUGUACUCUCGGUCUAGCCUUGCAAAUCGAUUCAUGUAGAUGACUGUCUCACUACUCAAUGUACUGCUCCAUCCCAAACUUUCUAUCUAAAACCUCUAUCUAAAAACUU